AUUAAACGCUGGCGGCAUGCCUUACACAUGCAAGUCGAACGGUAGCGCGGGGCAACCUGGCGACGAGUGGCGAACGGGUGAGUAAAGCAUCGGAACGUGCCCUGGAAUGGGGGAUAACGUAGCGAAAGUUACGCUAAUACCGCAUAUUCUGUGAGCAGGAAAGCAGGGGAUCGCAAGACCUUGCGUUCUGGGAGCGGCCGAUGUCGGAUUAGCUAGUUGGUGGGGUAAAAGCCUACCAAGGCGACGAUCCGUAGCGGGUCUGAGAGGAUGAUCCGCCACACUGGGACUGAGACACGGCCCAGACUCCUACGGGAGGCAGCAGUGGGGAAUUUUGGACAAUGGGCGGAAGCCUGAUCCAGCCAUGCCG
rnacentral:rRNA from 1 species